GGCCUUGUAGUGUAGCGGUUAUCACUUGGGAUUCUGAUUUAAUCUUCCCAAAACCCAGGUUCGAUUCCUGGCACGGCCU